UUGUCCGGAAUUACUGGGUGUAAAGGGAGCGUAGGCGGGACGGUAAGUCAGGUGUGAAAUAUACGUGCUCAACAUGUAGACUGCACUUGAAACUGCUGUUCUUGAGUGAAGUAGAGGUAAGCGGAAUUCCUAGUGUAGCGGUGAAAUGCGUAGAUAUUAGGAGGAACAUCGGUGGCGAAGGCGGCUUACUGGGCUUUUACUGACGCUGAGGCUCGAAAGCGUGGGGAGCAAACAGGAUUAGAUACCCUGGUAGUCCACGCUGUAAACGAUGAUUACUAGGUGUGGGGGGACUGACCCCUUCCGUGCCGCAGUUAACCAUAAGUAAUCCACCUGGGGAAUACCACCGCCAGGUUGAAACCC
rnacentral:rRNA from 1 species